rnacentral:rRNA from 1 species
GAUGAACGCUGGCGGCGUGCCUAAUACAUGCAAGUCGAGCGAACAGACGAGGAGCUUGCUCCUCUGACGGUAGCGGCGGACGGGUGAGUAACACGUGGAUAACCUACCUAUAAGACUGGGAUAACUUCGGGAAACCGGAGCUAAUACCGGAUAAUAUAUUGAACCGCAUGGUUCAAUAGUGAAAGACGGUUUUGCUGUCACUUAUAGAUGGAUCCGCGCCGCAUUAGCUAGUUGGUAAGGUAACGGCUUACCAAGGCAACGAUGCGUAGCCGACCUGAGAGGGUGAUCGGCCACACUGGAACUGAGACAAGGUCCAGAAUACUACGGGAGGCAGCAGUAGUGAAUAUUACGCCAUGGGCGAAAGCUUGACAGAGCAACGCCGCGUGAGUGAUGAAGGUCUUCGGAUCGUAAAACUCUGUUAUUAGGGAAGAACAAAUGUGUAAGUAACUAUGCACGUCUUGACGGUACCUAAUCAGAAAGCCACGGCUAACUACGUG